GUUCAUUUGCAUGUAACAAAUAAAUUUCUUCCAGUUGAGAUGUUAAAUUAAAAAUAUAAACAUUUGUUUAAUAAAAAAAAAUGCAUGUCCCACUUUCUCUCAAACGAGUCCCAUCCUCUUUCAUCUUUAUUUGUAUCAUCGUCUCUCUCCCUCCCUCCCUGCCGCUUCCCUCCUUCAUUGUCGUCGAUUGAAAGUGAGAUACUCAAUUUUUAUGUAUUUGUUACAAUUUGGUUUAAUAAUGAGAUACUUGAUUUUGAAAGUGAGAUACUCAAUUGAGAAAUUCUCAAGAUGCAGUGAGAAUUGAUUACGGUGAAAUAGAACCCAAGAUAAAUUGAAAUUUAGGUCUGAGAAUUUUAAGACUACAAGAAAGUGAUGGGUCUAAGAGAAAUCAACAAUUUGGGAUAAUAGAAAACUAAUUUGGGAGUAGAGAGGUGUUGCAAUCAGUCAGAGAAUCGAGUUUGAGAGAUCAACGACGGUGAAGGAGGCUUAAAGUGGAGAAGGAUAACAAAUGUUCAGGGACAGUGGUGUUGAUAAAGAUGGAAGAUGAAG
rnacentral:lncRNA from 1 species